UCUCAGAGAAGAAGAGCCAUGUCCUGGCUGCCCAGAAGAUAUGGAAUUUAAAGGAGUUGUUUGGACAAUGCAGUGCCAAGCUCCCACAGUUCGAUUAACAUCUCUAGGAAGAUGUCUCCCGAAUCCACAGAGCAACCCUUCCCCUCAGUCUCCUGAGAUCUAGUCUUGACUCACCAAACGCCUGUUGAACAUCUGCCAGCUAUCCUUCCCAUUUCUGCUGAUUACUCCCUACAGGACUUUGGACAAGCUGCAAUCCCCUCCCAGCCAUGCUUCUUACUUUUUAGACUUCAACACCAUGCCUCAGCUAUAGUUAAAAACCCUAGAAUUUCCCUCAGGACCUGGGGCCUCUUUUCUCUGGAAUAUCCAUCAACCCUCAUGGCCUUAUCAACCUGGAACAUCCCUCUGCUACGCUGACCUUCUACUAUCGAUGAGUUCCUCCUGGGGUCUCAAUUUUGGACAGAGGCCCAGUCUAGCCAACUUUCAUUCCCCUCCCAGCUGUACUUCAGGCUUUCUGAAUUUUAAUGCCCUGCCCCCACCUCCCUCAGCCCCACUCUGAUUAUUCAUGUGUGUUGUU